rnacentral:sRNA from 1 species
UUUGAAGACAAACUUGGGGUUCACUAUAUUUAACACGUAGGACCCCUAGUAUCUGCCACUGGCCUGCAGGGGGUGGCUGCAGGGACACACACCUGUUGGGUGCCUGCUGGUUCCACCCAGGAGCACAGCCAGCAGCCUCAUGCCUCCUGCCCCCUGGCAGUCGAGUGCAUGUGGAGCGGGUGGCCUUGGCCUCGACAGGGUUCCCAGGGUCCCACUGGAAGCCCCACGUGGAACUGUGCCUCUGGGACGUCGCUCCGGGGACCUUGGGUGUGGGCUGGCCCCAUCCUGUGGGGAGGUCCUGGGAGGGUCAGUCUGGCCCGCCUGCCUGCUGACUUGGGUGUGGCCCGAGCAGGUAAAGGCAACACAGGAGGAGAACCGGGAGCUGAGGAGCAGGUGUGAGGAGCUCCAUGGGAAGAACCUGGAGCUGGGGUAAGGAGGACCUACCCCCUGUCCUCCCUGUCCCCAUCCCCCUCGCCAUCCCUGUCCCUGUCCCCAUCCCCACCUGACCGCUGGGCACCCGAGGCCAUGGCUGUGUGUGUGUUCUCCUCCCACAGGAAGAUCAUGGACAGGUUCGAAGAGGUUGUGUACCAGGCCAUGGGUGAGUGCCCGGGCCGCCGAGGCCACAUGCCUCCACGAGGGGCUGCCUAUGCCCGACCCUGGCCCUGCCCUGCACCCUGCCUAGGACCCCACCCUCCUGAGGCCCCUUUUCCUAACACACGAGUCCCUUCAACAUGGGCCCAGCCGUGGAACCACUGAGGCAAGUUGCGGGGAAGUUGGUGGUAUAGUGAGGCCGGUGGUGUAGUGAGGCCGGUGGUGUAGUGAGGCUGGCGGCUCCUAUGCAGCCAGCGCUUGUCAGGCCCCAAAGUUGUGCAGAUGCUGAGCUAACAGUGGGGCUAUGGUGGGAGCAGAGUCUGUCCCACCGUGGCCUGCCCCACUCCACCCUGCCCUCACCAUGCGGCUAUGUCUAGCAGCAGCCUCUGUAGGUGUCUGGCAGGACAGGAACACCAGGCCUCACCUGGCCUCCCAAAAGCUUGGGCUCCUGGAGGUGCUAUUGUGGGGAUCUGUCUUAGGCUGAGUGUCAACCGGGGGCAGGUGACUGCCUGGCCCUUGUAGUCCCUCCAGGACCACCACGAAGCACGACCCACAGCCUGGAGCUCGCCAUACCGGCUCCCAAGCCUCACCCUAGGCUCUAGGGUGUUGGGCACCGCCUCUUCAGGGACCUCUGGCCCAGGAUCCAGUUCCCUGCGGAUCUGAUGUGGAGGAAACAGCUGUUUCCUGGGCCUUGCAUCUGGCCUAGGAAGAUCCCGGGUGGAGGGGCUCAUCACCCUGCCGAGGCUCACACCCACUGCCCGCCUCUCCUCCUGGCGCUCGAGUCCCUCGCCUUAUCCCUUGGGCUGUCUCUGGCACCCAGCUUUUCGGUUGCCUCCUCAUCCUGAACGUUUGCUUUUCUUUUCUCAAGAGGAAGUUCAGAAACAGAAGGAACUUGCCAAAGCUGAAAUCCAGAAAGUUCUAAAAGAAAAAGACCAACUUACUACAGAUCUGAACUCCAUGGAGAAGUCCUUCUCCGACCUCUUCAAGCGUUUCGAGAAACAGAAGGAAGUGAUCGAGGGCUACCGCAAGGUAUGUCUCCGCCACCCUGGUGUCCUCACCUCGGAGGUUGAUGGACUCAUGGUCCAAGCCAGCGGGGCUACAAGCUGCUGUCUUUGCACCUUGGUCCUUGGCCAAGCCUCCCCUUGCCAUGGGGGCAUGGGAUGACCUGUGAACGAGACGGGGUGCAGGAGUCACAGCAUAGCUGGUUUGCGAGGCAGCUGAGGGUGGCAGGAGGCAGAGUGAGCAGGGAGGCCAUCUGAGCCGUCCGCUGUUGUGUGAAAGACGACAGCUAUGAUCAAACAUCUGUGAGAUUUGAGACAGCACUGGCGCACCGGGGCCUGGGGCACCUUGGAAAGGUGUCCAGUCUGUCCGAGUGCUUGGGUCCCAAGGGUUGGGGACCCAGGGCAUGCAGUAUCCAAGGCGGGAGGCCCACAGAAAGGUGGUCACGGCUGUGCAAGGCUGCCCUGCUGUCCUCCUGGCCACAGGACUCUGAGCCCUGCCACCUUCUUUGCUGGGCAAGGCCCACAUGCUUGCUGGAAGGAGGGAUGUCUGGGCCAUCCGUCUGCCUGGAGCAGGCCUGGAAGGUACCUGCGAGGCCGCCAGAGGGUUCUGCCCACAGCAGCAGUGUUGGAGCAGAGGUGCUCAACGCCUCCUGUAGCUGGACCUGCGGGUGCAGCCGGAAGAGGGGCUGUCACUGUUGGUGCAAGGGGGUUGAGGACACCAGAUGGGUCCCCUGGGAGUCAGAUAAACUGGAACAGCAGCCUUUGCAGGGCCUGGCUGAGCCACACCUCAUCUGAGUCCUGAAGUCAGGUGGGUGUCAGUGGCUGGGGCCCUGUUGCCUAAGAGAAGCAAGCCUGAAUACUCUAGGGAAGAAAGUAUCUUACACUUUAAAUUGCAGCUGCAGAGUUUUAAAUUAGUGUCUGGCACAGAAUAACCAAGUGUGAAAGGAACAGGAAACAUGAGUGAAAAUCAGACCCAUUAUUAGAGUGAGGCAUGGUGAUGUACGCCUGUGGUCCCAGCUACUCGGGAGGCUGAGGUGGGAGGAUCGUUUGAGCCCGGGAGGUCGAGGCUGCAGUGAGCCACGAUUGUAUCACUGCACUCCGGCCUGGGCAAUAGACCAAGACCCCCAUCUCUAAAAUUUAAAAAAAAAAAA